GGCUCAGAACGAACGCCGUCGGCGUGGAUAAGACAUGCAAGUCGAGCGAUUAUUCCAGGGUAGCAAUAUUCUGGGGUGAGAGCGGCGCAUGGGUGCGUAACACGUGGGUAAUCUGCCGGGAAGUCUGGGACAACUUGCUGAAAGGCGAGCUAAUACCGGAUGUGGCUGAGGAGAGGCAUCUUUUUUCAGCUAAAGUUGGGGACCGCAAGGCCUGACGCUUUCUGAUGAACCCGCGGCCUAUCAGCUAGUUGGUGAGGUAACGGCCCACCAAGGCUAAGACGGGUAGCUGGUCUGAGAGGACGACCAGCCACACUGGAACUGAGACACGGUCCAGACACCUACGGGUGGUAGCAGUCGAGAAUUUUUCACAAUGGGCGCAAGCCUGAUGGAGCGACGCCGCGUGGGGGAUGAAUGGCUUCGGCCCGUAAACCCCUGUCAUUUGCGAUCAAACCUGGCUAUUUAAAAGAUGGUCAGCUGAUAGUAGCGAAAGAGGAAGGGACGGCUAACUCUGUGCCAGCAGCCGCGGUAAUACAGAGGUCCCGAGCGUUGUUCGGAUUCACUGGGCGUAAAGGGUGCGUAGGUGGUGAGGUAAGUUGGAUGUGAAAUCUCGGAGCUCAACUCCGAAACGGCAUUGGAAACUACCUUGCUGGAGGGUUGGAGGGGGGAAUGGAAUGCUUGGUGUAGCAGUGAAAUGCGUAGAUAUCAAGCGGAACACCGGUGGGGAAGGCGAGUCCCUGGACAACACCUGACACUGAGGCACGAAAGCUAGGGGAGCAAACAGGAUUAGAUACCCUGGUAGUCCUAGCCGUAAACGGUGCGUGCUUGCUGUAAGAGGAAUCGACCCCUUUUGUGGCGGAGCCAACGCGUUAAGCACGCCGCCGGGAAAUACGGU
rnacentral:rRNA from 1 species